CUUUACUAUAAUUUAAAAUUGAUUUAAAGAAGAAUCUGUUCAGUAUAAGUGGGAAAUAAUGAUAAAAGAAAAAAUUUUGAAUUACUAAUGAGAUACCACUCUUAUUCUUUUAAAAUCUAAUAAUAAUUCUGUAAACCAGUUAUUAAACAGUUUUAAGUGGAUAGUUUGACUGGGGCGGUGACCUCCUAAAAAGUAACGGAGGUGUACAAAGGUUAUAGUUUUUAUAAUUUUUAAAAAUUUUUAUGAAAUAUGUAAAGAUAUAACAAGCUUAACUGUAAGAUAUACAUACCCAACAGAAACGAAAGUUUGUCUUAGUGAUCCGAUUAAUUUAAAUGGUAGAACAAUCGAACAACGGAUAAAAGUUA
rnacentral:rRNA from 1 species